AAUGAACGUUGGCGGCGUGGAUUAGGCAUGCAAGUCGUGCGAUAUUCCCUCGCAAGGGGGAUGAAAGCGGCGAAAGGGAGAGUAACGCGUGGAUACCUACCCUGGGGACCGGGAUAGCCGCGGGAAACUGCGGGUAAUACCGGAUAACGUCUUUGGACCAAAGGUGUGAUUCCGCCCUGGGAUGGGUCCGCGCCCUAUUAGCUAGUUGGCAGGGUAAUGGCCUACCAAGGCGAUGAUGGGUACGGGGUGUGAGAGCAUGACCCCGCUCACUGGGACUGAGACACUGCCCAGACACCUACGGGUGGCUGCAGUCGAGGAUCUUCGGCAAUGGGCGCAAGCCUGACCGAGCGACGCCGUGUGCGGGAUGAAGGCCUUCGGGUUGUAAACCGCUGUCAGAGGGGAGGAAGUACCGGGAAGUAAUACAUAAUCGACCCGGUUUGACCUAUCCUCAGAGGAAGUACGGGCUAAGUUCGUGCCAGCCGCCGCAGUAA
rnacentral:rRNA from 1 species